UUUCAAAACAUUUCAAAAUGCCCGCUUCCUGCUCCUCUCUCUCUCUCUCUCUCCGGCGAUUUUAGAUCUGGAUCUAGGGUUUUUCUCCAUCACGUUUCUACUACUCCAAUUCCUCAUGGAAAUCAUUGGAAUCAAACUCAAGUCUAGGUUUUGAACUUCACGGAGAGUUGAGAGUCCCACAAAGAUCGAUGAAACUGAAAACACGCAGUGAUGAACACCGAUUUGUAAGAAACCCUAACUAAAGGUUUCUUCCGGUCUUCUCUUCUGAUGGUUUCUUCCGGUCUGGUCUUCUCUGCUGAUGGUUUCUUUGGUGCAGCCUAACUCUCUUUACUUCAAGUAAGUGGAACCGAGAUGCAGAAAUUGAGGGUCACUUUGGAGAAGGUUAAGCAGCAUAAUUUGCAACUUGCUCUAUCAAACAUCUGAGUGAUAGAGGAACUAUGGUCAAGGAAAGGCAAAAAGAUCUCUAUCAUGAGCCUGGCUGCAAAAAUCGCUUGAUUAUUGCAAAAAAAAAACGUGGAGUUGGAGAUGGUUGGUGCCUCUGGGAACAACUUGAUGUGUUGUGUUCAUUGAAGUCUGGUAUUUCCGAGGAGGUCUUGAAGGCUUAUGACGGCAACGAUUUUCAAAAGCCUUCUCUUAUGGCCAUCGUAAGCCAGAUCUACGAUGUCUCACAACGCUGUCCAGUGUGUAUAAAUCUAUUGAAGACGUUGCUGAUCGGGAUGUUAAUAUUAGGUGUAUUCUGCAAUUUUUAUUCUUUAUUAAAGACACUGCUGGCAAAGUUGGUUCACAAAUAGUAAGGGAGCAUUUGACGUUAGGAUUUAAUGUUCGAGCUGCUGUACAAAGUACUCAUAGCAGAAUAUUUGGUGAAAGUUGGAUAUUCGUGUUUUGCUAAACCUUUCCCUCGGCACAAUCAUGAACCAUGCCUUAGUUUAUAUCGCAACAAAAAAAAACCGUAUAAUAUGGUAUAGAAAAUGAUUUUGAGAAUGGCGAAACUACUAGAUAAGCAGUUGUCUAGAAGCAAUCCUGAAUGUAGGCCCUGGACUUGACGACGUUAAAUCGUUGUUAAUACUCCGUGAACGAGGACGCUUCAGUCCUACUCGCUACUUCGUUGAUAGCGUUAUUGGAUUCGAUGAAACUGAUCUACAUCAGUCCUGGGUUAAGUUAGGUGAGCUCCAGCGACCAUGAAACGAUCGAUUCUGGUGGCAAUGGUGCGUCAUAAGUCCAGAUCGAGGACUAAAGGAGCGGUAUCACCAACAAUUGGCAGGUUAACGACACGAUCACCAAAUGUACUCAUACUCCAGAUGGUGCCAUUUUCCGUGUCUUUUUUACAUACCAUGUUAUAGAUUGUUGCUGCCGCCGCAUCGCGCGGGUUCC